GACGAACGCUGGCGGCAUGCCUAACACAUGCAAGUCGAACGAGACCUUCGGGUCUUGUUGCGCACGGGUGCGUGACGAGUGGGAACCUGCCCUUAAGUUCGGUAUACUUCCCCGUAAGGGGUGCUAAGACCGGAUAAGGUCUUCCGACAAAAGAUUUAUCGCCUUUGGGUGGGGCUGCGUUUGAUUAGCUAGUUGGUAGGGUAAAAGCCUACCAAGGCGACGAUCCAUAGCUGGUCGGAGAGGAGGAUCAGCUAGACUGGGACUGAGACACGGCCCAGACUCCUACGGGAGGGAGCAGUGGGGAAUAUUGUAGAAGGGGCGAAAGCGUGAUCCAGCAAUGCGGGGGGAGAGAUGAAGGCGGUAGUGAUGUAAAGCUGUUUUAGCCGGGAUGAUAAUGACGGUACCGGGAGAAUAAGCUCCGGCUAACUACGUG
rnacentral:rRNA from 1 species